CUGAAACGGCGGGGCGGGAGGCGGGGGGAUAGGAGUGGGGCUAGGGUUGCUCGGAGGGGAGGGUCGUAAAGGGGGGUUAGGCGGAUCGGACAGGCAGGGGGUAAAUUCCCGGGCUCAACCUGGGGGCGGCGUUUGAUACGGGAGGUCUGGAGUGGGGAAGAGGGUCGUGGAAUUCCCAGUGUAGAGGUGAAAUUCGUAGAUAUUGGGAAGAACACCGGUGGCGAAGGCGGCGACCUGGUCCUUGACUGACGCUGAGGCGCGAAAGCGUGGGGAGCAAACAGGAUUAGAUACCCCUGUAGUC
rnacentral:rRNA from 1 species